GUUUCUAAUUGGUAAUAUUUUUUAAAUGUAUCAUUAUGGUGGUGAAUAUUGUUCAGUAAGUAUUUGGCAUACAGUCAUUAAUUAGAAAUCUGUGACUAACUUAUCUAUAACGAUUAUCUAUUGACAUGUUUGUAAGUAUUAUAAUUGAAUUUUUCAUCAGCACAUAUUACUAAGAUUUCACUUUCUUUAACCAGGGAACGUUAAACACGCUCAUUAUAUAGACUUAAAAUGUUUUUGCCUAGUUCUCCUAGAAUUUAGAAUAGUUGAUCUUAUAGUAUUUUCCCUUUGUCAUAAUUUCCACCUGUGUUUAAAUUGUAACAAAUCAUUAACCGGACAUCUAUUGACAUACCUAUUUAAAAG
rnacentral:lncRNA from 1 species